rnacentral:rRNA from 1 species
AGCGAACGCUGGCGGCAGGCUUAACACAUGCAAGUCGAGCGGGCGUAGCAAUACGUCAGCGGCAGACGGGUGAGUAACGCGUGGGAACAUACCUUUUGGUUCGGAACAACACAGGGAAACUUGUGCUAAUACCGGAUAAGCCCUUACGGGGAAAGAUUUAUCGCCGAAAGAUUGGCCCGCGUCUGAUUAGCUAGUUGGUGAGGUAACGGCUCACCAAGGCGACGAUCAGUAGCUGGUCGAGAGGAUGAUCAGCCACAUUGGGACUGAGACACGGCCCAAACUCCUACGGGAGGCAGCAGUGGGGAAUAUUGGACAAUGGGCGCAAGGCCUGAUCCAGCCAUGCCGCGUGAGUGAUGAAGGCCCUAGGGUUGUAAAGCUCUUUGUGCGGGAAGAUAAUGACGGUACCGCAAGAAUAAGCCCCGCUAACUUCGUGCCAGCCGCCGCCGUAAU